CGCAGAAGAAGCCACCGGGCUAACUUCCGUGCCAGCAGCCGUCGGUAAUACGGAGGGGUGCAAGCGGUUAAUCGGAAUUACUGGGCGUAAAGCGCGCGUAGGCGGCGUGUCACGCCGGGUGUGAAAGCCCCGGGCUCAACCUGGGAACGGCAUCCGGAACGGGCAGGCUAGAGUGCAGGAGAGGAAGGUAGAAUUCCCGGUGUAGCGGUGAAAUGCGUAGAGAUCGGGAGGAAUACCAGUGGCGAAGGCGGCCUUCUGGACUGACACUGACGCUGAGGUGCGAAAGCGUGGGUAGCAAACAGGAUUAGAUACCCUGGUAGUCCACGCCGUAAACGAUGUCGACUAGCCGUUGGGUCCCUUGAGGACUUAGUGGCGCAGUUAACGCGAUAAGUCGACCGCCUGGGGAGUACGGCCGCAAGGUUAAAACUCAAAUGAAUUGACGGGGGCCCGCACAAGCGGUGGAGCAUGUGGUUUAAUUCGAUGCAACGCGAAGAACCUUACCUACCCUUGACAUCCUGCGAACCCGGAAGAGAUUCCGGGGUGCCUUCGGGAGCGCAGAGACAGGUGCUGCAUGGCUGUCGUCAGCUCGUGUUGUGAAAUGUUGGGUUAAGUCCCGUAACGAGCGCAACCCUUGUCCCUAUUUGCCAGCGAUUCGGUCGGGAACUCUAGGGAGACUGCCGGUGACAAACCGGAGGAAGGUGGGGACGACGUCAAGUCAUCAUGGCCCUUACGGGUAGGGCUACACACGUGCUACAAUGGCCGGUACAAAGGGUUGCGAAAGCGCGAGCUGAAGCUAAUCCCGAAAAGCCGGUCUCAGUCCGGAUCGGAGUUUGCAACUCGACUCCGCGAAGUCGGAAUCGCUAGUAAUCGUGCAUCAGAAUGGCACGGUGAAUACGUUCCCGGGCCUUGUACACACCUCCCGUCACACCAGGAUUGGAUUGCACCAGAAGCCGUACAGUUUCUCUCGGCACAGCGUUUCAUGUAUAGUUUCCCGUUCCCC
rnacentral:rRNA from 1 species